rnacentral:tRNA from 1 species
GCCCUGAUAGUAUAAACAUUACACUGGUCUUGUAAACCAGAAAUGAAAACUACUUUUCUCAGGACA